AUCCCUUCGCAGGGGCAGUAUUGUAGCAUAUGAGGUCAAUCCGAGGUAUGAUUAUUGCUAGUUGAAAACAUUAACAAAUUCCCGCCUUAACGACCUGAAAUAUAGUCAGGAAUGGCAGUUCCCGACUUAUAAUAUUGU